CAAUAGCGUAUAUUAAAGUUGUUGCAGUUAAAAAGCUCGUAGUUGGAUUUGUGGCGUACGGUGUGUUCCGGGCACUUGUUGUCUGAGUAACCUGCUGUUGCCAUCCUUGGGUGGAACCUGUGUGGCAUUAGGUUGUCGUGCAGGGGAUGCCCAUCAUUUACUGUGAAAAAAUUAGAGUGUUCAAAGCAGGCUUAUGCCGUUGAAUAUAUUAGCAUGGAAUAAUGAGAUAGGACUUUUUUGCUAUUUUGUUGGUUUGCGCAAAGAGGUAAUGAUUAAUAGGGACAGUUGGGGGCAUUCGUAUUCCAUUGUCAGAGGUGAAAUUCUUGGAUUUUUGGAAGACGAACUACUGCGAAAGCAUUUACCAAGGAUGUUUUCAUUAA
rnacentral:rRNA from 1 species